UUUUUUUGGGCGCCAAAAUGAAGACUAAGCACAGCAGUCACUGCCAGUCAGUCAGAAGAACUCUCUCAGACGGACACCACGUUAUUAAAGUCUAUCAUCCUUGCAUGCGCUACACACUCAAAAGCAUUGAUAAAUGCUGAAUUUAAAAGAAUCACUACUGUCUAAUGUUCCUGCGUGUCACCUGGACCUCCAAUCCAAAAACCUGAUGAAACUCUUCUAUCAGAAAGGAUGACAGCUAGCAAAAAGACUUCAAACAAUUAAUGAUCAAAUGACAGAAGGCAUGGAUGAAGUCAGCAUCAGUGUGGUCAUUUGAAGACACCAAUGUUGGGAUUUGUGCUCUCAAACAACAUGCUUCUUGUGAUGAAGAAGA